UGGGGAAUAUUGCACAAUGGGCGCAAGCCUGAUGCAGCCAUGCCGCGUGUGUGAAGAAGGCCUUCGGGUUGUAAAGCACUUUCAGCGGGGCGGAAGGCGAUAAGGUUAAUAACCUUGUCGAUUGACGUUACCCGCAGAAGAAGCACCGGCUAACUCCGUGCCAGCAGCCGCGGUAAUACGGAGGGUGCAAGCGUUAAUCGGAAUUACUGGGCGUAAAGCGCACGCAGGCGGUCUGUCAAGUCGGAUGUGAAAUCCCCGGGCUCAACCUGGGAACUGCAUUCGAAACUGGCAGGCUAGAGUCUUGUAGAUGAGGGUAGAAUUCCAGGUGUAGCGGUGAAAUGCGUAGAGAUCUGGAGGAAUACCGGUGGCGAAGGCGGCCCCCUGGACAAAGACUGACGCUCAGGUGCGAAAGCGUGGGGAGCAAACAGG
rnacentral:rRNA from 1 species